rnacentral:rRNA from 1 species
UACGUAGGGUGCAAGCGUUAAUCGGAAUUACUGGGCGUAAAGCGUGCGCAGGCGGUUGUGUAAGACAGAUGUGAAAUCCCCGGGCUCAACCUGGGAACUGCAUUUGUGACUGCACGGCUGGAGUGCGGCAGAGGGGGAUGGAAUUCCGCGUGUAGCAGUGAAAUGCGAAGAUAUGCGGAGGAACACCGAUGGCGAAGGCAAUCCCCUGGACCUGUACUGACGCUCAUGCACGAAAGCGUGGGGAGCAAACAGG